CGAAUGCUGACAUAAGUAACGAUAAAGCGGGUGAAAAGCCCGCUCGCCGGAAGACCAAGGGUUCCUGUCCAACGUUAAUCGGGGCAGGGUGAGUCGACCCCUAAGGCGAGGCCGAAAGGCGUAGUCGAUGGGAAACAGGUUAAUAUUCCUGUACUUGGUGUUACUGCGAAGGGGGGACGGAGAAGGCUAUGUUGGCCGGGCGACGGUUGUCCCGGUUUAAGCGUGUAGGCUGGUUUUCCAGGCAAAUCCGGAAAAUCAAGGCUGAGGCGUGAUGACGAGGCACUACGGUGCUGAAGCAACAAAUGCCCUGCUUCCAGGAAAAGCCUCUAAGCAUCAGGUAACAUCAAAUCGUACCCCAAACCGACACAGGUGGUCAGGUAGAGAAUACCAAGGCGCUUGAGAGAACUCGGGUGAAGGAACUAGGCAAAAUGGUGCCGUAACUUCGGGAGAAGGCACGCUGAUAUGUAGGUGAAGCGACUUGCUCGUGGAGCUGAAAUCAGUCGAAGAUACCAGCUGGCUGCAACUGUUUAUUAAAAACACAGCACUGUGCAAACACGAAAGUGGACGUAUACGGUGUGACGCCUGCCCGGUGCCGGAAGGUUAAUUGAUGGGGUUAGCGGUAACGCGAAGCUCUUGAUCGAAGCCCCGGUAAACGGCGGCCGUAACUAUAACGGUCCUAAGGUAGCGAAAUUCCUUGUCGGGUAAGUUCCGACCUGCACGAAUGGCGUAAUGAUGGCCAGGCUGUCUCCACCCGAGACUCAGUGAAAUUGAACUCGCUGUGAAGAUGCAGUGUACCCGCGGCAAGACGGAAAGACCCCGUGAACCUUUACUAUAGCUUGACACUGAACAUUGAGCCUUGAUGUGUAGGAUAGGUGGGAGGCUUUGAAGUGUGGACGCCAGUCUGCAUGGAGCCGGCCUUGAAAUACCACCCUUUAAUGUUUGAUGUUCUAACGUUGGCCCCUGAUCGGGGUUGCGGACAGUGUCUGGUGGGUAGUUUGACUGGGGCGGUCUCCUCCUAAAGAGUAACGGAGGAGCACGAAGGUUGGCUAAUCCUGGUCGGACAUCAGGAGGUUAGUGCAAUGGCAUAAGCCAGCUUGACUGCGAGCGUGACGGCGCGAGCAGGUGCGAAAGCAGGUCAUAGUGAUCCGGUGGUUCUGAAUGGAAGGGCCAUCGCUCAACGGAUAAAAGGUACUCCGGGGAUAACAGGCUGAUACCGCCCAAGAGUUCAUAUCGACGGCGGUGUUUGGCACCUCGAUGUCGGCUCAUCACAUCCUGGGGCUGAAGUAGGUCCCAAGGGUAUGGCUGUUCGCCAUUUAAAGUGGUACGCGAGCUGGGUUUAGAACGUCGUGAGACAGUUCGGUCCCUAUCUGCCGUGGGCGCUGGAGAACUGAGGGGGGCUGCUCCUAGUACGAGAGGACCGGAGUGGACGCAUCACUGGUGUUCGGGUUGUCAUGCCAAUGGCACUGCCCGGUAGCUAAAUGCGGAAGAGAUAAGUGCUGAAAGCAUCUAAGCACGAAACUUGCCCCGAGAUGAGUUCUCCCUGAGACUUUAAGUCUCCUGAAGGAACGUUGAAGACGACGACGUUGAUAGGCCGGGUGUGUAAGCGCAGCGAUGCGUUGAGCUAA
rnacentral:rRNA from 1 species